UGAAUCGUUUGCUUUCAUUCUAACGUGGUGAAUAUGGCUACCUAGAAUAACAUGCAUUCAAUUGACCAGAACUAAUAACUAUUUAAAUGCAACUUUGAUACUGUCCCAAAAUUCCAGUGGAAUAUGUUUGCCUACCAGCAAGUGUGUGUAUAAAAUUGACAUUGUGAAAUCCAAAACCUGAAAUUUGCCUUUUAGCAAACACGAAUUAAUUGCAUAUAAAAGUCUGAUCCUCUAAUAAAAAUAUAGACUGUAUAAACUCUGCAAAACCAUUCUUAUAGAUAUCAUAUUGUCUGAGCAAAAAGCUUUUGUAGCUAAAAUUGCUUGUAUUUAUAUCUUUUUUCCAAUCAGAAAUAUCAUCCGUAUAAAGACUAUUUCAGUAGUGGGUAGAAGACUCCUGGCGCCUCCAUUGAAACACAGGCAUUGAGAGGACUGGUCCCCUGCCUGAUAGAGUUAUGCAGACACACCAACAAAGCAUCUGGGCUCUGCUUUUCCUGCUGUAGGGGACACUGGAGACAAUCACAAGACCCUCAAACAAUUAUCUUGCUGAUCUUCCCCAAAACCCUACAGCCAGUUUGAAGCAUAAGUGUAUGAUCACAGUGAACAAGAACCCA
rnacentral:lncRNA from 1 species